rnacentral:misc_RNA from 1 species
GAUGAAGAACGUAGCGAAAUGCGAUACUUGGUGUGAAUUGCAGAAUCCGCGAAUCAUCGAGUUUUUGAACGCAAGUUGCGCCCGAAGCCAUUCGGCCGAGGGCACGUCUGCCUGGGUGUCACGCAUCGUUGCCCCCCCAAACUCCGGUUCGGGCGGGGCGGAAGUUGGCCUCCCGUGCGUGCCUGCGCGCGCGGUUAGCCCAAAAGCGAGUCCUCGGCGACGAGCGCCACGACAAUCGGUGGUUUUUUUACCCUCGUUCCUCGUCGUGCGUGUCCCGUCGCCCGAACGCGCUCUUGUGACCCUCACGCGUCGCCUCGGCGGCGCUCCCAACGCGACCCCAGGUCAGGCGGGACUACCCGCUGAGUUUAAGCAUAUCAAUAAGCGGAGGA